rnacentral:rRNA from 1 species
GAUCAUGGCUCAGGAUGAACGCUGGCGGCGUGCCUAACACAUGCAAGUCGAACGGAGUCGUUUUGGAAAUCUCUUCGGAGAUGGAAUUCUCGACUUAGUGGCGGAUGGGUGAGUAACGCGUGAGCAAUCUGCCUUUAAGAGGGGGAUAACAGUCGGAAACGGCUGCUAAUACCGCAUAAAGCAUCAAAUUCGCAUGAUUUUGAUGCCAAAGGAGCAAUCCGCUUUUAG